ensembl:lncRNA
AGAGGAGGCAAGUCAGGAAGAAACACACCCUUGAAAAACCCAGGGGUGUGAAAGGGAUUUCUGUGCUUUUCUCUCUGCUGCAGGGCACCUUUUCCUAACAUGAUCCAGAAGGCUGUAUAAAAACAACUUGGAAUAAUCUUGAAACCCAUAGAGGGCUAAGCCAGAGAAAAGGAGCCAGCACCUUUGGGCAAAGAAAACCAGAAAAUCUGAGAAGAAGAGCCAGGAAGAAGGGAGGGAAUAUAUUUUAAUGGAAAAAACUUACCUCUAAAACAACAUGCUCUACAGAAAAGGUACUCACAAGAGUUUUCAUCAUCCAACCUUAACUCGGCUGCCCUGAUGACUCUCAGCCUACCAGCAAGGAAUGGGCACCUACCAACUUCUUGUCCCAUCGAGCCUGGGACUGUGCCUGAAGGUGGUGACAGAUUCCUGGUGUUUGGGGUGUUCCAGAUUCCUGUGUGUGUCCUUCCCUUGGAGAAAGGCAGCUCUGCUGAAUGUUGCUCUCAAUCCUGCACUUCUACCCAUGUUGCCAGCAGGAAUAAUCACAUCUCUAUUCACGUGGAUCCAUCUGCUGCUUCAUCCUGCUUUGGCCAUGGGAAGUCCCAGAUGUGGUCAUGGACGAUUUUGGGUGCCCAUAAGGGAAGAGGGGAUUUCUCCCACACCCCAAGGCCAGCUUUUUGAGAUGAGCUCAUGUCCUCUUUCAAGCUCUGAAACAAAUUGCUCUGUUUGUUGCCCUGUUGAAAACUUGGCUGGAAGUCAUUGGCUUUCCUUCUGAAGUACAAUGGUUUAUGAUCUCUAUAUUCCUUUUGUUCUAUUGGCAUAGUUUAGAGAUUUCUUUACUAUUCAUAUUUAUGCAUCACUUCUUGGAAGCCUGUGGGGAAGACAAGAUAGAGAAAUCAUACUUGAAAGAAAAAGCUGUCAAGCUUAAUCUGCUGCAUUUCUUAUUUUCUGGAACUGUGGGAAGAAAUCUUUAUGGGGCAGUUGUUUGGACAGUCUCUACUGCAGUUUUAGAACCCCUGGCAUGUUGAUAAUGUUUGACUGUAUAAAAGAUAUGGGUGCAUGUGAGCACUAUAAAUCCAAGGUAGGUGCAGCACUGGGAAAUUCAGACCCAUGGCUUGCAGGGUGUCAGCAGGUGACAACGACAGAGGAUUCCCAAUGUGUCUGAGUGAGGGGGCUGCAGCCACAGGUGCCUCAACAGGCUCCUAACAGCAGCUGGGAGCAGGCACAGAAUCACAGCAUUAUUGAUCAUCAUCAUAUUUACAGGUUUAAUAUAUCUGGCUUGUGUCUGCAAUGAGAAAAACACGAUUUUGGAUAGCAGUAGUGUUUUGUCUGCCUGAGUGAUCAGUGUUUCACUUAGCACUCCGCUAACUGCCUGCCAGAAUCAUAAAGGAUGCAAGCUGGUGUGUCACAUCUCUCUCCAAGGCCGUCAGGAUAUUUAUUUAAUCAGAGGGUGAGGGAAAUGUUGUGCUAAGCACCUCAGUGAGCAAUGUGAUCAUACUGGGUAAGCUAGAAACGUGCUUUGAUGUCUGUGGGGGUGAGUUGGUUUGUUUCAGUCUUCAUGGAGGGGCUUCAGUGGUGAAUCUGAGUUUGUUGGACUCUUAGAGCCCCCACAGUGUUGGGAUGGGGUGGAGCAGGCCCAUUCAAGGGUUAGCUGACUUGCUGGAAUGGAGGUCGUGGCUCUGUGCUGACCCAGUGAAGGGAACCAUGCUGAGUGUAGGAUGGCAUCCAGCAGCUGUGACCUUGACCAGCAGGAAUUGCUGAUACCCCAGCACAUCCCAUGGGUUGUGCUCUGUCUUCCACUGGUGCUCACGCCCAGGAAUACGACUUCACACGGUCUUGUAAAGUUCUUCUCAAUUCAGAAACUAGUAUCUGGCACCAAUAAUGAAUUUUGAAUUCCCUGAGCUAAUUGGGAGUAGUCUGAAAAAGCCAGAAAGGACUUUGCCUUUAAUUAGAACUUAUGUUUCAUAAAAGUAAUAAAUCUUGCUGGGGUUUAGGGCCA